rnacentral:rRNA from 1 species
UACGGGGGGAGCAAGCGUUGUUCGGAUUUACUGGGCGUAAAGGGCGCGUAGGCGGUCAGCACAAGUCAGUUGUGAAAUCUCCGAGCUUAACUCGGAAAGGUCAACUGAUACUGUGCGACUAGAGUGCAGAAGGGGCAACUGGAAUUCUUGGUGUAGCGGUGAAAUGCGUAGAUAUCAAGAGGAACACCUGCGGCGAAGGCGGGUUGCUGGGCUGACACUGACGCUGAAGCGCGAAAGCGUGGGGAGCGAACAGG